CUUGGUCAUUUAGAGGAAGUAAAAGUCGUAACAAGGUUUCCGUAGGUGAACCUGCGGAAGGAUCAUUAUCGUAAAACAGAGGCGCAUGAGCUGUCGCUGACCUUUAAAGGUCGUGCACGCCCAAAGCGUUCUCGCACAUCCAUCUCACACACCCCCCUUUUGUGCACCACCGCGUGGGUCCCCCCCCUUUUCGGGGGAGGGCUCGCGUUUUCACAUUAAACUUGACACGGUGUAGAAUGUAUUUCUUUUUUCAUUUGCGGUCACACGCAAUCAAUACAACUUUCAACAACGGAUCUCUUGGCUCUCGCAUCGAUGAAGAACGCAGCGAAAUGCGAUACGUAAUGUGAAUUGCAGAAUUCAGUGAAUCAUCGAAUCUUUGAACGCACCUUGCGCCCCUUGGCAUUCCGAGGGGCACACCCGUUUGAGUGUCGUGAAAUUCUCAAAACCUUUUUCCUUCUUUGAUCCAUUUUGGUCAGGGAGAGAGGAUUUUGGACUUGGAGGGUUUCUGCUUGUUUUCGCUUUGAAAGUGAGCUCCUCUCAAAUGAAUCAGUGGGGUCUGCUUUGCUGAUCCUUGACGUGAUAAGAUGUUUCUACGUUUUGGACUUGGCAUUGUCCCUCGGACACCUGCUUCCAACUGUCCACAUCAUGGACGACGGUGGUGCUCUGGUCAUCGCCAUCUACAUUGGCGGGAAGGCUGGACCCACAAAAGACCCUUGACCUCAAAUCGGGUGAGACUACCCGCUGAACUUAAGCAUAUCAAUAAGCGGAGGAAAAGAAACUAACAAGGAUUCCCCUAGUAACUGCGAGUGAAGCGGGAAAAGCUCAAAUUUAAAAUCUGGUGGCCUUUGGCCAUCCGAGUUGUAAUUUAGAGAAGCGUCUUCCGCGCUGGACCGUGCACAAGUCUCCUGGAACGGAGCGUCAUAGAGGGUGAGAAUCCCGUCUUUGGCACGGACACACCAGGGCUUUUGUGAUGCGCUCUCGAAGAGUCGAGUUGUUUGGGAAUGCAGCUCAAAAUGGGUGGUGAACUCCAUCUAAAGCUAAAUAUUGGCGAGAGACCGAUAGCGAACAAGUACCGUGAGGGAAAGAUGAAAAGCACUUUGGAAAGAGAGUGAAACAGUACGUGAAAUUGUUGAAAGGGAAACGCUUGAAGU
rnacentral:rRNA from 1 species